ACUCGGUAUAUCCUGUCCUGGGCCUGUUCCUCCAGCUGCGGGUUCCAGUGAGGGUCCAGCAGGAGAAGGUGGUUUGCCCCACACAGGUUGAGACCCACACCGCCCGCACACAGCGACAACAACAUCACCUGGUCCAUGUCGUCUCCGCGUCCCCACCUUCUGGUACACGUUCAUCUCGUCCUUGUGCAGCGUGACGUCCACGUGGUGCGCGCUCCGCUCCGGCAGACAGGUGAGUUGGCCUCUCUCCUGCAGCAGCUGCUUGGUCCUCCUCAGCAUGAUGCACCUCAUGAUGGUGCUCAGUCGUUCUUGGCCGCCGAGAGAUUUGUUAUCGAUCCACUUUUUCCACAUCUGAAAAUCGAUAUUUUUCCAACUGAUCAAUGCUUGGGUCGGACUGUUUAAUUUAACCUUACUUUGUGCAUUUCAAACAGUUAUUCAUUACAAUUAAUAUUUAUAAAAAUUAAAAUAAUUACAAUAUAAAUUAGUUCUUAUUACAUGAACUUUGCUGUCGACGAAGUUCUAGUUACAAAUGCCUUCAAGCAUAUAAAAGUUGGCAGGAACAGACAGACCAAAAUAAAAUAUAAACGUUAUGUUAAUGUGAAUAGCGGACAUCGAUUAUUUGAUUUAUAUACAGCUAAUGGAUCGUGCCACGGACCGCGAGGUCGUCGAAGGGUGUACAUUUGAGGAACUUCAGCAAGGCGAACAGGUCCAGGUCCUUGUUAUGUAGCGGGGUCCCGGUCAACGCCCAGCGAGCCCAGGAGGACAGGCUGCACACGCCCAGCGACGUCGACGACUUGUGGUUACGGACCACGUGCGCCUCGUCCAGGAUGACGCGGCGCCAGCGGACGCGGGUCAACACCCCGCCCUGGGGACAGAUGCCUCGAUGUUGUAGGUGGUGAUAACGAGGUCGUAGCUGGCGAGGCGGUGGGGCUGCGUGGCGCGGGCGGCUCCGUGGUGGUGACACACGGACACGGCGUGCGGCCGGCAGUGCUUCGCCACCUCGCCCGCCCACUGCUGCAUCAGCGACGCCGGACACACCACCAGCGUGCCGCCGCGAGCCACUGGGAACAGCCAUGUGCAAACCCGUGUAAGCCGCGUGUAAAAUAAACGUUUGAUAGUUAA